GCAUAAAUAAAGAAGUAGAAUGAAAUUGAAAAUAAUUGGGUAUGUUUAUUGCCGGAGAGUUUCUGCAAUAUGCUACUGCAGUCCAUAUGCUUAUCAAUUAUGAGGAUUUUUGGCUUUCGGCUCUGGAAAAUAUGAGAAAUAUGGGCAAUUACUCUCUGAAGAAAGAGAUGGGGUUCCACCAUGUAGCCCCGGCUGGUCUUGAGCUCAUGAGCUCAAGCGAUUCACCUGCCUCAGCCUCCCAAAGUGCUGGGAUUACAAGUGUGAGCCACCAUUCCUGCCUCUAUACCUCUAAAGGUGUUGAAUAAUUUGAAUGGGAAUUUGAAGGUCCAUGGCUUCCAAACCAGCAGGAGUUAAGGCUUAAUUGCUUGGAAAUACAUUUUCAUGGCUGAUACCAGUAACAGAAAAAUGUCUGUAUGUCAAGAGGCUCUGUACUAAUCAGUUAACCAUAACAUGUGCCACCCCAUACCUUGGGCCAAUGUAACUGUUAACAGCUUGAAGCUAUUAAAAAUGUACCAAUGGAGAACUUUCUUAUACUUUUUUCACUAAUGUGCUUCUUCACUCUAAAUAAAGGAAUAGAUAAAUUUUA
rnacentral:lncRNA from 1 species